CUGUGAACCUCCUUUAUGCGAUCAGCGGAUCUGCAGAUACCGCUACAUGUCCAGUCAAAUGAAGCAACACAUAUGUUCCCUGCUUGUGCCUUCCAUUCACAAUCUGCAAUUCCCUCUCAAGAAUAAGAUUCAAAUGUUACAAUGAGGUAAAGGUUUAGUGUCACUACAGAUUUUUGAUAGUCUUUUGGUCUCCUUUUAGCAUUACUUAAAGGAAACAUUCUAGUUAAGUGCAUUGAGCUAGCUUUUCACUACUCUACAAUCAUCUAAAACGUAUUGAACUGAGUGUAGAAACCAAGAAGGUACCAGGAGGAGUGCCGCAACAUAGUCUUCUGUCAUCGAUAUGGGUGACAUCAAGACCGAUAAACCAAGCACCCAAUGUAACAUCCUCAUUUGCAUAUUUGUGCAGAACAUGCCUGGAGAAGCAUUAUAUUAACACCAAUGAGUUAAAAUGAGGUACAAAAUACAAGACACACAAAAGAGAAGUUCCAAGUCUUACUGAUUAAUGGAAAUAUAAGAAGCCAAGUCUCUUGAAAUGGCGUAUAGCUGUCCAGUAGCGUGACGGAAGUACUUGUUCCCGUUCUCACCAAACUUCCAAUACUCUGGCUCGUGGUAUCUAACUCCUCUGCUCCAUAGACAUAUACAAAG
rnacentral:lncRNA from 1 species